rfam:Daphnia pulex DAPPTscaffold_4765_Cont16029, whole genome shotgun sequence.
UCCCAUAUUGUCUAGUGGUUAGGAUACCUGGUUCUCACCCAGGAGGCCCGGGUUCAAUUCCCGGUAUGGGAA